UACGGAGGGUGCAAGCGUUGCUCGGAAUUAUUGGGCGUAAAGCGCGUGUAGGCGGCUAUCUAAGUCUGGUGUGAAAUCCCGGGGCUCAACCCCGGAACUGCAUUGGAUACUGGAUGGCUAGAGGAUGAGAGAGGAUGGUGGAAUUCCUGGUGUAGGGGUGAAAUCCGUAGAUAUCAGGAGGAACAUCGGUGGCGAAGGCGGCCAUCUGGCUCAUUUCUGACGCUGAGACGCAAAAGCGUGGGGAGCAAACAGG
rnacentral:rRNA from 1 species